rnacentral:rRNA from 1 species
AAUGAACGCUGGCGGUAGGCCUAACACAUGCAAAUCGAACGGCAGCACAGUAAGAGCUUGCUCUUACGGGUGGCGAGUGGCGGACGGGUGAGGAAUACAUCGGAAUCUACUUUUUCGUGGGGGAUCACGUAGGGAAACUUACGCUAAUACCGCAUACGACCUACGGGUGAAAGCAGGGGAUCUUCGGACCUUGCGCGAUUGAAUGAGCCGAUGUCGGAUUAGCUAGUUGGCGGGGUAAAGGCCCACCAAGGCGACGAUCCGUAGCUGGUCUGAGAGGAUGAUCAGCCACACUGGAACUGAGACACGGUCCAGACUCCUACGGAAGGCAGCAGUGGGGAAUAUUGGACAAUGGGCGCAAGCCUGAUCCAGCCAUGCCGCGUGGGUGAAGAAGGCCUUCGGGUUGUAAAGCCCUUUUGUUGGGAAAGAAAAGCAGCAGGUUAAUACCCCGCUGUUCUGACGGUACCCAAAGAAUAAGCACCGGCUAACUUCGUG